GACAAACGCUGGCGGUAUGCCUAACACAUGCAAGUCGAACGGACAGAACAGGGAAGCUUUUCGGAGUGGAACUGGAAAGUUAGUGGCGGAUGGGUGAGUAACGCGUGGACAACCUACCUUGUAAAGGGGAAUAACCUCGAGAAAUCGAAGCUAAUACCCCAUAAUAACCUUGCUUCGCAUGAAGUAAGGAGGAAAGGCGGCCUUAGCGCUGUCGAUACAAGAUGGGUCCGCGUCUGAUUAGCUAGUUGGUGAGGUAAAGGCUCACCAAGGCGACGAUCAGUAGCCGGCCUGAGGGGGUGAACGGCCACAUUGGGACUGAGACACGGCCCAAACUCCUACGGGAGGCAGCAGUGGGGAAUCUUCCGCAAUGGGCGAAAGCCUGACGGAGCAAUGCCGCGUGAGUGAAGAAGGCCUUCGGGUUGUAAAACUCUGUCCUUAUCGAAGAGAGAGUGUUGUAGUAACUGACAAUACUAGGACGGUAGAUGAGGAGGAAGCCCCGGCUAACUAUGUG
rnacentral:rRNA from 1 species